rnacentral:rRNA from 1 species
UACGUAGGGCGCAAGCGUUAUCCGGAAUUAUUGGGCGUAAAGAGCUCGUAGGCGGUUUGUCGCGUCUGUCGUGAAAGCUUGGGGCUUAACCCCAAGUCUGCGGUGGAUACGGGCAGACUAGAGGCAGGUAGGGGAGAACGGAAUUCCCGGUGUAGCGGUGAAAUGCGCAGAUAUCGGGAGGAACACCGGUGGCGAAGGCGGUUCUCUGGGCCUGUACUGACGCUGAGGAGCGAAAGCGUGGGGAGCGAACAGG